rnacentral:lncRNA from 1 species
GAAUUACCUUUAGACAGGAAGGUCUUGGUUAAACUACAUUAUUCUCUCUCUCUCUCUCUCUCUCUCUCUCUCUCUCUCUCAUUCUCCUCCUCCUCUUCUUCUUCAUACAACAUUGCUUUCUAAGAAUCCCGAAAAAUAAUUAUGCAGAUGUGGAACUGCAUUUUAAAAAUCAAAGAGGGCUAGUGAAAUGGCUCUGCAGGUAAAAGAUCUUGCUGUGCCAACCUGAUGACUCUGAGUUUUAGAAACUAUAGUAGAUGAAAAGAACCAACUCCAAAAGCUGUUCUCUGACCUCCAAGAACACACAGCGGUACAAACAUGCCUGCACACAUGAAUAUUUAAAAUGACAAAGACCUGUAAACAAGGGCCACUGAUUGGGAAAAAAAAGGAUUAGGGCACAAGGGCAGAUUCAUCUGAUGGCCCUUCUGGCCACCCCUAGAGACACUGGGCAGGCAGGUUAGGAAAGAACAAAGGCAUGGCAGUACACAAAUAAGGUUAUCAAAAGAACAGAAAGAAGUUUCAACUCAGGACAUGAGAUCAGUGGGAGAGCACUUGCCUCGCACAUGUAAAGCCCCAGAUCACACACACUCACACACUCACACACACACUCACACAUACACACACCCUACACUUAAUUACAUGAUAGAUGUACAGCUUACCUAUUGAACAAACACAAGUGAGAGGGUGUUAUCAAUUAAUUUGGUCACCUCACAGAAAUUAUUUUCCUUAAUCCCCUGGGCCACACGAGGAACACUACCAUACUCCUUCCAGGUUAAAAUUCAGGAAUCAGACAGGAUUUUUUAUAAAAUAUUUUAUAAAAAAUAAUUUAAAUGUCUGAAAGGACAGUCUAGGGUUCUGGAGAUCUGUCUGAUUCUAGUUGCUUUUUUCCCCUUCAUCUUUUAGGUUGUUUUGAAGUGCUCGUGCCUGGUUUCUGCUAGGCCAGCAUUCUAUCACCGAGCAACACCCCAUGCUCUCUGUGAUGGUUGACCUUCCUUUACACCUGCGUCUGAUAGAGCUGACACACACCAUCUGUUCAGUGCAGCCUAUGAGGUACGAGUCUUCCCAGGAGUGGGAAGAAAGCCCUGUGGGAAUCCAGCAUAUGGACAUACUGCUGCUUGGCACAUCUCUUUGACAACCACUCAUCUGGUUUGGUUGUAAUAGGAUUGUACUGCUAAAUGCUUUAUUGAAAAUCAUUUCCUUCUUUUGAAUAAUUCAUGCCGAACAGAGAAAAUUCAGAUCCUUGGUAAAAUAAUCCCAUGUUCUCAAGAAAGUGUACGUGUUGUGAGUGUUACACUCUAUUCUUCUAUGGAAAUAGAUGUGUUCUUAAGAACAGAUUGAGGUCAUUUGUCACCUGCAAAAGCAAAAAAACCAAGUUUGUUUGCUUUCUUUGUUUUCUUUCUACUUGAUAAUAAAGACCCAGAGCACCUUGAAGAUCAGUAAAAAAAAAAAAAAUUAUAAUUAUUUUUUAAAAAUGUCUUUGACAAGGCUGGCCAUCAGACAAGGCUGGCCUUAAAUUCAUGGUCCUCCUGCAGUUGAGUUAUAGGUGUAUACAACAGUCAACAAAUCAAAAAGUUUGUUUACUUAUUUUUUUUAAUUGUAUUUAUUUGCUGUGUGAGUGCCUGUAAGCAUGAAUGUGCACCAUAUGUGUGCCUGAUGCCUGAAAAAAACGUAAAAGGACACUGGACUCAUGGAGUUGGCAUUACAAAUGGUUGGGGGUAGCAGGCUGCUAGAAAUUGAACUUGGGUCCUCAGUGAGAGCCACAAGUGUU